CGAGAGUUAUCAUCAAGAAGUUUUCUCGUUGUGAUGUGGCUUCAAGUUCUUCGAUGUCGCAGGAAUUCUGAUCCCCACAUCUUCAACAUGCACAAGAUCGCGAAUCUCCGCAUCUUCACGAUCUCCAUUUAUAUGUGUGUGUGUGUGCGCGUGUAAAUUGUGUGGAUGUGAGACAGUUCUUUGCCAUUAUUACAGAUGUGGGACUGGAUCCCCACUCUGAACCGCAAUGUGCGACAAACCAGAAAAGUUGUAAAGCAUGAGCCAAUUAAAAAUAUCAUGAACGCACAUUUCGUUAUCA